rnacentral:rRNA from 1 species
UACGUAGGUGGCAAGCGUUGUCCGGAUUUACUGGGUGUAAAGGGCGAGCAGCCGGAGAGACAAGUCAGAUGUGAAAUCCACGGGCUCAACUCGUGAACUGCAUUUGAAACUGUUUCCCUUGAGUGUCGGAGAGGUAAUCGGAAUUCCUUGUGUAGCGGUGAAAUGCGUAGAUAUAAGGAAGAACACCAGUGGCGAAGGCGGAUUACUGGACGAUAACUGACGGUGAGGCGCGAAAGCGUGGGGAGCAAACAGG